rnacentral:rRNA from 1 species
UACGGGGGGGGCAAGCGUUGUUCGGAAUUACUGGGCGUAAAGGGCUCGUAGGUGGCCAACUAAGUCGGACGUGAAAUCCCUCAGCUUAACUGGGGAACUGCGUCCGAUACUGGAUGGCUUGAGUUUGGGAGAGGGAUGUGGAAUUCCAGGUGUAGCGGUGAAAUGCGUAGAUAUCUGGAGGAACACCGGUGGCGAAGGCGGCAUCCUGGACCGGUAUUGACGCUGAGGAGCGAAAGCCAGGGGAGCAAACGGG